CCGGUAGGCGGAGCUUGCAGUGAGCUGAGAUCCCGCCACUGCACUCCAGACUGGGCGACAGAGUCUCUGUCUCAAAAAAAAGAAAAAAGAAAAAAAAAGGUCAUCAUAAUAACACUUAACUCACUCAGCAGUUGUGAGUACAAAUAAAAUUCAAAUCCUGGAAGUGUUUGAAAAACAUCCACAAGAAUGACAGAAAGGAGAAGCACACUGUUGUUUUUGUUAGUUUUAACAUUCGUGUGGCUUUUUUCUUCCUAUCCGAAAAAGAGAUUUUCUCCCCGAUCAGCCCAAGUCAUCCUUCUAGUGGCAAGAAAAUUAGGAAUGUUAUGGAAAGAAUCCCAAAAGAAAAAACGAGUGAAUAUUCAGAUUCACAUUUUUCUUUUUUCUUUUUUUUUGUUUUUUUCUUUUUUGAGAUGGGGUCUCGCUCUGUCACGCAGGUUGGAGUGCAGUGGUACAACAGCUCACUACAGCCUCGAACUCCUGGGCUCAAGCGAUCCUUCCACCUUAGCCUCCCAAGUAGCUGGGACUACAGGUGUGUGCCACCAUGCCCAGCUGAUUUUUUUUUAAGGACUAGAAAGUCAAAGACAAAUGCCCAGCAGAUUUUGUAGAGCUGGGGUUUCGCCAUGUUGCCUAGGCUGGUCUUGAACUCCUGAGCUCAAGCAAUCCACCUGCCUCAGCCUCCCAAAGUGCUGGAAUUACAGACAUGAGCCGGCACGUCUGGCCUAUAUUCUGAUUUAUAUUCAAAGUAGACUUUGCAGCAAGACAAUAGGCUUGGAAGACAGGUUAGUGACGCAGUUCAUGAUGGGGUUCACAAAGGGGCUGGUGCUGAGGUUCGAGAUGGCAUUUGUGAUAGGAUUGGUGAUGGGUUCAUGAUGGGGUUCGUGAUGGGGGUGGUGAUGGGUUACCCUGGGGACAGUGAGAAGGAAAGGCAGAGACAGAGGAGCUCAGAUGCCUGGCUUGUCUUCCCUUGACUCCCUCCAGUGCUGGUGGGGGUUGUUUCAAAAACAUCUGGACAGGCCAGGCAUGGUGGCUCACAUCUGCAAUCGCAGCACUUUGGGAGGCCGAGGCGGGUAGAUCACUUGAGCUCAGGAGUUUGAGACCAGCCUGACUGACAUCCAACAUGGUGAAACCCUGUCUCUACUAAAAAAAAAAAAAAAAAAAAAUUAGCCAGGCAUAGUGGCAGGCACCUGUAAUCCCAGCUACUCAAGAGGCUGAGGCAGGAGAAUCACUUGAAUGUGGAGGCAGAGGUUGCAGUGUGUGGGGAAAAGCAAGAGAGAUCAGAUUGUCACUGUGUCUGUGUAGAAAGAAGUAGACAUGGGAGACUCCAUUUUGUUCUGUACUAAGAAAAAUUCUUCUGCCUUGAGAUGCUGUGACCUUACCCCAAACCCAUGCUCUCUGAAACAUGCGCUGUGUCAAACUCAGGGUUAAAUGGAUCAAGGGCGGUGCAAGAUGUGCUUUGUUAAACAGAUGCUUGAAGGCAGCAUGCUCCUUAAGAGUCAUCACCACUCCCUAAUCUCAAGUACCCAGGGACACAAACACUGCGGAAGGCCGCAGGGACCUCUGCCUAGGAAAGCCAGGUAUUGUCCAAGGUUUCUCCCCAUGUGACAGUCUGAAAUAUGGCCUCGUGGGAAGGGAAAGACCUGACCGUCCCCCAGCCCGACACCCGUAAAGGGUCUGUGCUGAGGAGGAUUAGUAAAAGAGGAAGGAAUGCCUCUUGCAGUUGAGACAAGAGGAAGGCAUCUGUCUCCUGCCCGUCCCUGGGCAAUGGAAUGUCUCGGUAUAAAACCUGAUUGUACGUUCCAUCUACUGAGAUAGGGAAAAACCGCCUUAGGGCUGGAGGUGGGACCUGCGGGCAGCAAUACUGCUUUGUAAAGCAUUGAGAUGUUUAUGUGUAUGCAUAUCUAAAAGCACAGCACUUAAUCCUUUACCUUGUCUAUGAUGCAGAGACCUUUGUUCACGUGUUUGUCUGCUGACCCUCUCCCCACUAUUGUCUUGUGACCCUGACACAUCCCCCUCUCAGAGAAACACCCACGAAUGAUGAAUAAAUACUAAGGGAACUCAGAGGCUGGUGGGAUCCUCCAUAUGCUGAACGCUGGUUCCCCGGGUCCCCUUAUUUCUUUCUCUAUACUUUGUGUCUUUUUCUUUUCCAAGUCUCUCGUUCCACCUAACGAGAAACACCCACAGGUGUGGAGGGGCAACCCACCCCUUCAGCAGUGAGCCGAGAUCGCACCACUGCAUUCCAGCCUGGGCAACGAGAGCAAAACUCCAUCUCUAAAAAUAAAAAGACAUCCUGGU
rnacentral:lncRNA from 1 species